rnacentral:rRNA from 1 species
CCCUUAGAGUUUGAUCCUGGCUCAGGAUGAACGCUAGCUACAGGCUUAACACAUGCAAGUCGAGGGGAAACGACAUCGAAAGCUUGCUUUUGAUGGGCGUCGACCGGCGCACGGGUGAGUAACGCGUAUCCAACCUGCCCACCACUUGGGGAUAACCUUGCGAAAGUAAGACUAAUACCCAAUGAUAUCUCAAGAAGCCAUCUGAAUGAGAUUAAAGAUUUAUCGGUGAUGGAUGGGGAUGCGUCUGAUUAGCUUGUUGGCGGGGUAACGGCCCACCAAGGCGACGAUCAGUAGGGGUUCUGAGAGGAAGGUCCCCCACAUUGGAACUGAGACACGGUCCAAACUCCUACGGGAGGCAGCAGUGAGGAAUAUUGGUCAAUGGGCGAGAGCCUGAACCAGCCAAGUAGCGUGCAGGAUGACGGCCCUAUGGGUUGUAAACUGCUUUUAUAAGGGAAUAAAGUGAGUCUCGUGAGACUUUUUGCAUGUACCUUAUGAAUAAGGACCGGCUAAUUCCGUGCCAGCAGCCGCGGUAAUACGGAAGGUCCGGGCGUUAUCCGGAUUUAUUGGGUUUAAAGGGAGCGUAGGCCGGAGAUUAAGCGUGUUGUGAAAUGUAGACGCUCAACGUCUGCACUGCAGCGCGAACUGGUUUCCUUGAGUACGCACAAAGUGGGCGGAAUUCGUGGUGUAGCGGUGAAAUGCUUAGAUAUCACGAAGAACUCCGAUUGCGAAGGCAGCUCACUGGAGCGCAACUGACGCUGAAGCUCGAAAGUGCGGGUAUCGAACAGGAUUAGAUACCCUGGUAGUCCGCACGGUAAACGAUGGAUGCCCGCUGUUGGUCUGAAUAGGUCAGCGGCCAAGCGAAAGCAUUAAGCAUCCCACCUGGGGAGUACGCCGGCAACGGUGAAA